UGAGAUUAGAACUUUCCAAAAUUUUGGAUUACCACUGCGAAUAUAAGAAGCGAUAGAAUAUGCGUGGCUAUAUGGCAUGGCGGAGAUUGAGUUGGAUAUCAGCUCAUAAGGUAGUUGACAUCACCUUCUCCUUUAGUUGGCAAAAACCUGUACAGAAAAGUGGGUGAGAUUUGUAAUAUUAGCGGGGUUUCGUUUCAUUUCAUUCCUUGUUCUUGUGCUUAUUGGAUGAAGAUAGGUUAUCAUUCCAUUCAUGCACUUUAGGAGGAAAAUGGGGGGAAACAUUGUCAAACAGCAAAUGGCAAAUAUAUUGUUGCAGCAAGUGAGGAUUCCCAUGUAUACAUCUGGAAAAAUGAAGCCGAUUGCAGGCCUAACAGGAGUAAAGGUGUCACCGUGACACAGUCCUAUGAGCAUUUUCACUGUAAAGAUGUCUCAGUGGCCGCUCCCUGGCCUGGUAUGGGUGAUACAUGGGACAUGCGUGAUACAUUUUCUGGAGAACAACCGGAGCUUGAUAACAACAACGACGAAAUCACAUCAGCCAAUCAUCCUCCUACACCUGUAGAGGAAAACUUUGGUAAUGAGGGUUCACAGUCUGCUUCAGGUUACAAUAGUCCACACCAUGCAACCAUUGCAAGUGCAACAAAUAGUUACUUUUUCGAUAGAAUUUCUGCAACAUGGCCAGAGGAAAAACUUCUUCUAGCUGCAAGAAACCAAAGCCCUCGUGUCAGUAUGGAUUUCUCAAAUGGGGUAAGUCAAAAAAUGUCAGCCUGGGGUAUGGUGAUUGUUACUGCUGGUCUUCGAGGUGAGAUUAGAACUUUCCAAAAUUUUGGAUUACCACUGCGAAUAUAAGAAGCGAUAGAAUAUGCGUGGCUAUAUGGCAUGGCGGAGAUUGAGUUGGAUAUCAGCUCAUAAGGUAGUUGACAUCACCUUCUCCUUUAGUUGGCAAAAACCUGUACAGAAAAGUGGGUGAGAUUUGUAAUAUUAGCGGGGUUUCGUUUCAUUUCAUUCCUUGUUCUUGUGCUUAUUGGAUGAAGAUAGGUUAUCAUUCCAUUCAUGCACUUUAGGAGGAAAAUGGGG
rnacentral:lncRNA from 1 species